rnacentral:rRNA from 1 species
CAGGCUCGAACGGCAUCUGACAUCCUACGAAAGUAGGCUCCCGCAAGGGCAGGUGUCGAGGUGCUGCAUGGCUGUCGUCAGCUCGUGUCGUGAGAUGUUGGGUUAAGUCCCGCAACGAGCGCAACCCUUGUCUUCUGUUGCCAUCGGGUUAUGCCGGGCACUCUGAAGAGACUGCCGGUGACAAACCGGAGGAAGGUGGGGAUGACGUCAAGUCAGCAUGGCCUUUAUGUCG